CCUACGGGAGGCAGCAGUGAGGAAUAUUGGUCAAUGGGCGGGAGCCUGAACCAGCCAAGCCGCGUGAGGGAAGAAGGUACAGCGUAUCGUAAACCUCUUUUGUCAGGGAACAAAGGCGGGGACUAGUCCCCGGAUGAGGGUACCUGAAGAAAAAGCAUCGGCUAACUCCGUGCCAGCAGCCGCGGUAAUACGGAGGAUGCGCGGGUAAUCCGGAUUUCUUGGGUUUAAGGGGUGCGAAGGCGGCCUGUUACGUCAGCGGUAAAAGCCCGGGGCGCAACCCCGGCGAGCCGUUGAAACUGGCGGGCUUGAGUGGGAGAGAGGUACGCGGAAUGCGCGGUGUAGCGGUGAAAUGCUUAGAUAUCGCGCAGAACCCCGAUUGCGAAGGCAGCGUACCAGCUCCACACUGACGCUGAGGCACGAAAGCGUGGGUAUCGAACAGGAUUAGAUACCCCGGUAGUC
rnacentral:rRNA from 1 species